CGGCGGACGGGUGAGUAACACGUGGAUAACCUACCUAUAAGACUGGGAUAACUUCGGGAAACCGGAGCUAAUACCGUAUAAUAUAUUGAACCGCAUGGUUCAAUAGUGAAAGACGGUUUUGCUGUCACUUAUAGAUGGACCCGCGCCGCAUUAGCUAGUUGGUAAGGUAACGGCUUACCAAGGCAACGAUGCGUAGCCGACCUUAGAGGGUGAUCGGCCACACUGGAACUGAGACACGGUCCAGACUCCUACGGGAGGCAGCAGCU
rnacentral:rRNA from 1 species